ACCGCGGUAGCCCAGGUGGUUAGGGCGUCGCGUCGGCAGUACCUACUGAUGCCGAAGGUAGCAGGUUCAAAUCCUGCCUGCGGUG